rnacentral:rRNA from 1 species
UUGGAGGGCAAGUCUGGUGCCAGCAGCCGCGGUAAUUCCAGCUCCAAUAGCGUAUAUUAAAGUUGUUGCAGUUAAAAAGCUCGUAGUUGAAUUUCGGGAUCAAUGUUUCGGUCAUGCCGUUGGUAUGUACUGAUAUUAUUGGUUUCUCACCUUCUAAAGAACCGUAAUGCCAUUAAUUUGGUGUCACGGGGAAUUAGGACUGUUACCUUGAAAAAAUUAGAGUGUUUAAAGCAGGCUCACGCUUGAAUAUAUUAGCAUGGAAUAAUGAAAUAGGACAUCCGAUUCUAUUUUGUUGGUUUCUAGGAUCGAUGUAAUGAUUAAUAGGGAUAGUUGGGGGCAUUAGUAUUCAAUUGUCAGAGGUGAAAUUCUUGGAUUUAUUGAAGACUAACUACUGCGAAAGCAUUUGCCAAGGAUGUUUUCAUUAAUCAAGAACGAAAGUUAGGGGAUCGAAGACGAUCAGAUACCGUCGUAGUCUUAACCAUAAACUAUGCCGACUAGGGAUCGGAUGAUGUUAAUUUUUUAAUGACUCAUUCGGCGCCUUACGGGAAAC